GUUACCGUCACUGGUGUUUUUGCUCGCAAUUGUCACUUGGGUUUACUGACGGAGCCACUGCCGGGUUGAUAAGGAGCUGCGGCUGCUUCAUUUUGUUAUUUCAGAGUUAGAAUCUGGUUUGCUUAUGCCGCUUGUAGCUGUUUCUGCUUUCGAGAGAGCAAGCCGAGUCGGGUUCUGAUUGCCGGUGAUUUCGGGCAGAGCAAAAAGAGUUCAGUUGACACGUUUGGGUUAUGAUUUUGGCAUUUUGAGGAUUUGGGCGCAGAAGUUAUGAAGAGUUUAAUUAUUUGUUAUUGAGAUGCUCUGUAUUGCUUUAGAUUAUUAUUUUUGUACCCUCACCUUUAUCUUGAUAUAUUCUGUGAGAGGGAUAGGAAUUGUACUGG